UACAGAGGUCUCAAGCGUUGUUCGGAUUCAUUGGGCGUAAAGGGUGCGUAGGCGGCGCGGUAAGUCGGAUGUGAAAUCUCGGGGCUUAACUCCGAAACUGCAUUCGAUACUACCGUGCUUGAGGACUGGAGAGGAGACUGGAAUUUACGGUGUAGCGGUGAAAUGCGUAGAUAUCGUAAGGAAGACCAGUGGCGAAGGCGGGUCUCUGGACAGUUCCUGACGCUGAGGCACGAAGGCCAGGGGUGCAAACGGG
rnacentral:rRNA from 1 species